CCUUAGCCCCGAUAGCAGUGGAAAUCCUUUUGUGCCGAUUUCGGCACAUAAGAUUGGAACAUAUAGCGGGAAGAGCU
rnacentral:sRNA from 1 species